GUGCCAGCAGCCGCGGUAAUACGGAGGGUGCAAGCGUUACUCGGAAUCCACUUGGGCGUAAAGCGCGCGCAGGCGGCCAUUUAAGUUGAAUGUGAAAGCCUACAGCUCAACUUGUAGAACUGCAUCCAAAACUAUUUGGCUAGAGUGUGGAAGAGGAAGAUGGAAUUAGUUGUGUAGGGGUAAAAUCCGUAGAGAUAACUAGGAAUACCAAAAGCGAAGGCAAUCUUCUGGAACACUACUGACGCUGAGGCGCGAAAGCGUGGGGAGCAAACAGGAUUAGAUACCCUGGUAGUCCACGCAGUAAACGAUGAAUGUUAGUCGUCGGGUAGCUAGUCUAUUCGGUGAUGCAGCUAACGCAUUAAACAUUCCGCCUGGGGAGUACGGUCGCAAGAUUAAAACUCAAAGGAAUAGACGGGGACCCGCACAAGUGGUGGAGCAUGUGGUUUAAUUCGAAGAUACGCGAAGAACCUUACCUAGCCUUGACAUAUUUUAGAACACUUUAGAGAUAGAGUGGUGCCUUCGGGAGCUUUUAUACAGGUGCUGCACGGCUGUCGUCAGCUCGUGUCGUGAGAUGUUGGUUAAGUCCCGCAACGAGCGCAACCCUCGUCACUAGUUACUAACGGUUCGGCCGAGGACUCUAGUGAGACUGCCUUCGCAAGGAGGAGGAAGGUGAGGACGACGUCAAGUCAUUCAUGGCCCUUACGGCUAGGGCUACACACGUGCUACAAUGGGGUAUACAAAGAGCAGCGAUACCGCGAGGUGGAGCAAAUCUCAUAAAAUAUCUCCCAGUUCGGAUUACACUCUGCAACUCGAGUGUAUGAAGUUGGAAUCGCUAGUAAUCGUAGAUCAGCAAUGCUACGGUGAAUACGUUCCCGGGUCUUGUACUCACCGCCCGUCACACCAUGGGAGUUGAAUUCAUUCGAAGCGGGGAUGCUAAAGUAGCUACCUUCCACAGUGGAUUUAGUAACUAGGGUGAAGUCGUAACAAGGUAGC
rnacentral:rRNA from 1 species